ACACCUCUGAGCGAAUGACCGGCGCUGCCGCCGUCGUCAUCAACAAGCGGUGAACAAACGUCAAGUCACAUAGUCUUUGUGGGAUGCUCCUUGUCUCAUGAGAAUCUGCCGCCACAAUGCAAAGGUGUGUCCGUGCCUCUUCCUCUGGGCCGUCAAAACAAUAUUUUACACACAAGACAGUGAAGAGUGACAUCACGUGUGCACACGUCACUCUACACUGCCACUGAGAUCAACUGAGCGUUGCUGCUGCACAUGGACACACAUGUGUGCAGAGAAAUAGUGUUUCCCAUGUGUGGAAUUAAUUUGUAUAUAGGCAGUGCACAGAUCUCACAAUACAUGUAUUAUAGUUCUUAUUAGUGGUAAUGGUGGCACACUGCACACAUCAUAAGAGAAAACAAACUGUGAUAAUGAGGCCAUCUUGUGGAUAUGUGCGGACCCUUUUUAUAUUUGGACAUUUGGAGAUUACUCAUUUCCUAAAUCUUCAUGUGGAUGUGUAUUUUGUAACUGACCACAUGUCAAAGUGAUAUGGUCCAGCCCUCUUUAUUAACACGGCUACAUGUUACCUGAAAUGAACCCCAGAAACUUGCGCAGCCUCCGCAGUGACCGGCAGGGGUCUAUGGAGGACUCAAAAUGACUUAAGUAUUAAUAAAUAAAUAAAUAAACGCAUGAAUAAAUAUAGGAAUAAAUAAAUGCAAAAAUAAAUUUAUAAAUAAAUAACUAAAUACAGGAAUAAAUAAAUAAAUGCAAUAAUAAAUGUAUAAAUAAAUACAGAAAUGAAUAAAUAUAAGUUAUAACUCAACAGGACAUCAUUAAAUAAAUGUAUUUCUACAUUUCUGUAUUCCUUCAUUUAUUUAUAUGUGAAAUUUAUGUGUCCGUAUAUUCAAAUGAGCUGGGGCGGUCCGAACCUCAUUGUUAAACAGGAUUGGUCAAAUCGGGGAGCAAGACAGAAGCAAUCGAUCCCUAGCACUUGGACCUGUAGACGAACAGUGUUUAUUAUGCAUUCUUGUCUGUACAUUCUAAAUACUACUGUUGUUGAGUCACGGAAUGUAAUGUGUUAAUGUGUUAUGUUAAGGAUGUUUUCAGCCGAGAAGUUAGUAGUUUAAGCAUCAAAUUUGUGGUCGGUUUAUCAAGAUACAGCCUAAUAAGUAUAUACGACGGAGAUUUGAGGUCCUGCUCGCGGGACCACUGAGCUCCGGGCGCCGGGCGGUCAGCGCGCUGUGUGGCCGCCGAGAGAAGCCUGAUCUCGGCAGGACUUUUUUAAAUGCUCCGCUGGCUCUGACUUCUCCGUAGCGGCUAAACAUGAGAUAUAAUUAGGUUUUGGAGGAUCUAAAGAGCACAACGAGUUUAUUAUUUAUUACAAGAUAACGUUACGUCAAUUUGACUGAGGGUUAAGAUUCAUAACUUCAUAUUGUAGCGACCCUGGGUCAGGAAAGCUACGAGACGUUGUAUAUUUAUUACCGUUUAUUCGUAGCCUACGCCAAACGACAGGGAACACCGCAACACAUUCUACUCCACUGGAAAGUAUUUUACAGUGAAUAAUUGGAGUAAAUUCAUGAGCAAGAACAUUUGAUGUGGUGACGUCACAAGACCAGAAAGACCGUCCUGCGUCCUCGAGAGUCUGGACUCCCAAGACCAGACUCCAAAGGAACACGAGUCUGUACUCAGUGUACUUGGAAUUGAUAACACGGCUGAAGUAAAAAAGCUGUCGAGGCUAACUUCUGCUAACGGUGAGCUGAGCGAGCCAACUUCAGCAUCAUGUGCCAGGCAGAAGUAGUAGAGCAUAACACACCAGGUGCAUCACACUCCUGUGACCAAUCAUGCUUUAGACAGAGGUUCGGACCGCCCCAGCUCAUUUGAAUAUACGGACACGUACAGUAAAUGUCACACAUAAAUAAAUGAAGAAAUACGUGUGGACACAUAAAUAGAGAAAUAAAUAAAUGAAGAAAUACAGAAAUGUAUAAAUAUAUUUAUUUAAUGAUGUCCUGUUGAUUUAUAACUUAUAUUUAUUCAUUCCUGUAUUUAUUUCUUUAUUUAUACAUUUAUUUAUUUAUACAUUUAUUUAAGCAUUUAUUUCUUUAUUUAUACAUUUAUUUAAGCAUUUAUUUAUUUCUAUAUUUAUUCAUGCAUUUAUCUAUACUUGAGUCAUUUUGAGUCCUCCAUAGGGGUCGACACUAUGCAACACUUCCAAACGGAUUAACAAAGUAUCACGUUCACCUGAUCUUUCAUCUCAUAAUUUCAUUUUGAUAUCGUGCAAUGACUCUCAAACGUCCUAUUAAUCUCUUUAGGUCAACUGUAUAUACCUGACAAUAUUAUUUUGUUGCAAAGUAAAAACACAAAUGUAACUUGUUAUUUUCUUUGUCUUUAUUUUGUUAUCAUCUGUGUCUCUCCAUUGUUGCUAAAUUCUGUAUGAUCAUUUUAAAAUAAGCUAAAGUAGUAUUAUACAAAUGCUAUAAUUAAUUCGGUUUUCACAUUGUUUCCCUUUUAUAUAUUAAGAUUAUGUAUCAUUCAUUACCUUCUGUUCUGGUACACUGUAAAAAACGGCUGUGAAAUCCACAGUAAUUUACUGUGUUUGUGAGCAGUAACGUACUGUAUACUAUUUCCCAGUAAAAUACUGUGUAUUUAUUCGCAGAUUACAGUUAACAAAGAGUCCGUCAAAAUCACACAGGACUUUAUUAAAACACAGUAACAUAAAAAGUGCUGUAGAGAAUCACAGUAACCAAAAUAUACUGUAGAUAAUCACUGUACCCUACAAAGUACUGUGUAUAAUUACAGUAACUAAUAAUCUACUGUACUCACCGUAACCAACAAUAUACUGUGGACAUUUACUAUACCCAACAAAAUAUUGUAUAAAUUACAUUAUGCUGUAAAAAAAAUCAACAUACCCCAAAAAGUACUGUGGAAAAUCACAUGAGCCAACAAAAUACUGUAUACAUUUACAGUAACUAAUAAUAUAUUGUGGUACUAGUAGUAACCAACAAUAUACUGUAGUACGAGCAGUAACCAACAAUAUAGUCCAUCCAACACCACUGUAAAGAAUCUCGGCGUUAUCUUUGAUCGGGACUUGUCCUUUACCUCCCACGUGAAGCAAAUCUAAAGAACUGCAAUUUUUCAUCUCUGUAAUAUUUUAAAAAUCAGGCACAUCUUGUCUCAAAAAGAUGCAGAAAAAUUGUUUUCCACGUUCGUUGAUUAUUUUAUCGAUUAAUCGAUUAAUCGGAUUUUAAAAAAUAACUUUAAUUUUCAACCCUUUAUUCAAAACAGGGUUCGUACGGUCAUGGAAAACCUGGAAAAGUCAUGGAAUUUUUAAAUGGCUAUUAGCAGGCCUAGAAAAGUAAUUGAAAAAAAUUAAAUCCCAAAAUAUUUGGAAAAGUAAUGCAAAUUUGUUUAAUUCAAAUGUUAAUUUACACGGUAUAUAUACGGUAUGCUUUGGAAUUCUCAUGGUUAGUUUAAAUACUACAUCUUCUCACUUUGUCACGUAUAGACAGAGUUUUCACAAAAUGUUUAAUCAUGGAUAUUUGGUUUAAAGUCAUGGAAAGGUCCUGGAGAUCCACUGGUCAGCAUGUGGAUGAACCCGUCACAAACAGACUGACAGCGGUUUACUCUCCUGAGCAGUGGUCCCCAUGUGGACCGGCCCCCUGAACAAUAUCAGAGACGCAUUCCGAUUUAUUAUUUUUUUCACCUGCCGUUGAGAUUGCAGUGAGACGCGGAAAACAUGUGAAGUGGUGCUCUUCGCAAUAAAACAUCUUUGAUGGGACGUGUCGCGUCUCGGCCUAUCAGCGUUCAGAUGUCGACAGCGUUUGAGAAGUUAGGUUCGCUUGAAAGUUAGUCCGCUACAUCUGCUGCUGUCACGCUGCACGGUGUAGCGAUACUAACAAAGUACCUGUACGUUAAAAACGAUGUGAUUUUGCAUAUUUUUAUUCUCGAUACUUCAUUAAAAGAGCGCACGAUCAGAGCUCACGUGCUGCUCCGCUCCGUUAAAUGUUGUCUGCACGCGCAGCGCUCACAGCGAAUGGCGUCGGGGCUUAUCUCCGUUGACUUUCUCCGCGGAAAAAUAUUUUCCGCUAUCCGCCACGGAAUAAAUAACCACGUUUUCUACGUUAUACUCUUGUGGAAAUGCCACACACGUCGUGACAUGUAGCGCCCUGGUGUCUGGGUUCAUAACGUCACCCGUAGGCGCACUUAGCUCCGUGAAUGUCUCCGACUACGUGAAUGACUUCCGCAUCCAGCGCCACGUGAGCAGCAGCAGCCAAUUAGAUUCAUCAACAGAGGAGCAGCUCAGCGCUGAUUGGCUCUCACAACGCAGCGUUCUGUCCUCUCCCUCCGGUCUGGUUUCCCCUGCGCCGCUCUGCGCUCAACUCAACUUUGUUUAUACUCCGCGACUUAUUGAGCGCCGUAAUAAUCGCGCGACACAACGAAUCGAUAAUGAAAUUCGUUGCGAACUAUUUUAAUAAUCGAUUUUUAUCGAUUUUAUCGAUUCGUUGUUGCAGCCCUAAACUCCUUAUUAUCAGGCUGCUCUAAUAAGUCUCUUAGGUCCCUCCAGUUGAUCCAGAAUGCUGCAGCUCGUGUACUCACUAAAACUAAGAAAAGAGAUCACAUUACUCCAGUAUUAGCUGCGCAGCACUGGCUCCCCGUAUCACAUUUAAGAUUCUUCUCCUCACCUACAAAGCCUUGAUUGGGGAUGCUCCAUCAUAUCUUAAGGAGCUUGUAGGACCAUAUUGCCCCAAUAGAGAGCUGCGCUCACUAAAUGCGGGGCUACUUGUGGUUCUAAAGGUGCGUUCACACCAAAAGCGAUGCAAUUUUUUCGCGUGACCGAAUCCCAUGAAAAGUCAACGUACAGACGUGUGUGGCUGCAAUAGACACUAUAUUUUUCAGGGUGGCGCAUUUGGGGCUACGCGUUUACAGCGGCGCAAUUUUCGCCCCUAGUUCAAAUAUUUCAACUUUGAGGUGGUAAUCUCGCAACUCGGGACAAUCAGCUCUCAAGUUGCUCCGCUUAUGGCGAGAACACGGCAAAUGGUCGAGCGAGUAAACUCACACGUUUUGGGCGAUGCGAAAAAUCGCAUCGCUUUUGGUGUGAACGCACCUUUAGAGUCUUAAAAAGUAGGAUGGGAGCCAGAGCCUUCAGUUAUCAAGCUCCUCUUAUGGAACCAGCUUCCACCAUCAAUCCGGGAGGCAGACACAGUCACCUCAUUUAAGAGUAGACUUAAGACUUUCCUCUUCGAUAGCGCUUAUAGUUAGGGCUGAAUCAGGUUUGCCCUGGUCCAGCCCCUAGAUAUGCUGCCAUAGGCUUAUACGCUGCUGGGGGACGUUUUAGGAUACACUGAGCACCUGUAUCCUCUUCUUUCUCUACUUAUGGAUGAAUUUUCAUCUCUCCAUUGCACAUUAUUAACUCUGCUUUCUCUCCGGAGUCCUUGUGACUUCACGUUUCAUAGGGUCCAUUGGAACAGGCUGGGUCUGAUGCCAUGGCGCUGCUGAUGCCCCGCCCACUCCUCCACUCUACCUCCAUCUGCUCUCCUGUAGGUUGCUUCCCUUCUUUCCCUGUGAAAGGGUUGUUUGGGAGUUUUUCCUGAUCCGAUGUGAGGUCCUGGGACAGGGAUGUCUAUUUGUACAGAUUGUAAAGCCCUCUGAGGCAAAUUUGUAAUUUGUGAGAAUGGGCUAUACAAAAUAAACUGAAUUGAAUUGAAUUAUACUGUAGAAAAUCACUGUACCAAACAAAAUAUAUAUGUAUACAUUUAAAGUAACUAACCGUAGUAUACUCACAGUAACUAACAAUAUACUGUAGAAAAUCACUGAAACCAACAACAUACUGUAUACAAUUACAGUAACUAAUCUACUGGAGUAUUUACAGUACCCAACAAAUUGGAAGAAAUCACUGUACCACAAAAAAGUACUUUGUCGAAUUACUUUAACUAAAAAACUACUGUAGAAAAUGACUGUACCCAACACUGUACUGUAAAAAGAAGCCAAAGGUAUAUUUGGAAUUGUAAAUAUUAAACAAAGUGUGAUAUAUAUGAACAUAUUUUUAAUAAUUACUUUUAUGAGUUAGGGUUAGUGUUUAACACUUGAUAUCUUCCGUGUCGCACACAUACAGGUUGAGUCUUUUAUAAUUACAAAUUCAGGCAUGACUUCGGAUGACCCCGGUCAUCCUCUUGCAAGUUGACGAGAUUCCGAGUGACCAAGAACUCUGGCGGUGUAGUUACAUCCGUAACUUUCAUUCUAUUUGAGGGCCCUAUCCAAGGAGGUCAGCUCCUCCACAUGACCAGCCACUAUCAGUAUCCACAGUGGGUGUGAGAAACUCCUGAUGAGUGAAUAUGAAUAAAGCUUCUGAGCCAGAUGGUUGUGUAAGAACAUGGUCCAACCAGCUAACUGACACAAUCAGUAAAGAUUAAAAUUGUUUAUGUUUAAGUUAAUUUCAAUAAACUUGGGAAUAAUUAUACUGCACGUUGCUGGCCGUACUCUAAAGCUUUCUACAUUUUAUUCAUAUCAACAUGUAAUAAUCAGAGUAUUAAUACUUAAUAAUAAUAAUAAUAACCGUAAUGCCUUUGACUCAAAUGGAAACCAAAAAGAUAUACAAUUCUAAUUUGCACAAUAUUUAUACAUAUAUCACACUGCACCUUUUUGUCUCUCAUGACUCAUAAAUCUAAAUUAAUAACAGAGCUGAUAUUUGUUUUUUAUUUGUAUUAUAUGUAAAUCUGGGAAAUAUUUUACUUUCAGAUUUCAGAAAUUGUCAGAUUUUCACAAAUAUUAAGAUAAUAUUGUAAUAAUGGUGCAAUGCUCCUGAGAUUUAUGUGGUUUAUAGGCGUAAACUAUUUUUUUAUGGUGAUGUUCGUUUUUCAGAAGAUGUUCUGUUAUAAUGACAUGUUCACACGCAUGGUUGUAUGAAAUCGAUACAUGGUACUUAAAACCCAAUGUGACAAAUAAUAAACCCACUCCACAACCAUGAAUGUAGGUGUCACGCUGACAAACAAAAUCAUGCUGUCAGGCAGGCACGUGCACAAACAUUUUGGGGGGCAGUUGCUCAAACCAAAAAAAGGGCACCUAUUGCCAAAAAUGUUUUGUGACAGAGUUGAAGCAUAAGUAGCAAUACACUAGUGAAGCUGUCCUCGACCUGCGUUUCCUCUGGACAGGAUUAGACAGCUAGCUUACAUUUUCUUUAUGAAUGUAGCCCUGGGGGGUGUUAAGUUGUAAUAGUUUAUUUUGAUAACAUCUGCAGAGGUCUUAUGUUUUAAAUUAAUACAUAUAGAAAGAUAUUAUAAUAGACAAUAUUAAGGAGAAUAUUGAUAUUGUUAUUAAUGUAUUAUGAAGCAUAGGGGUAAUGUUUACUCUAUGCAAAUGUAAAUGGCAAGAAUUAAUGUAUAUUGCAUGAGAGUGACUAUGUUAGUAUUAUAGAUUGACGAAGCCGGUUGACAUCUGUGAAAUGACUUACAAUAACAAGAGACUUUUAUUGUGAAGGUGACUUUAACAAGACGGGAUUCUUAUUGUGAAAGCGACUGGAACCGGAAGUGACGUUAGACCGGAAACAGGAAGAGUAUAUGACUGCGUGUUUGUAGAGGGAACAUGCUUUUUCACAGGUAAGCCCCGGAGGGGGAAGGCAGCACGGCAGCACGGGACCUCCAGUUCGACGCACGUUAAUAGUGGGAAAUAAUAAUAAUAAUAAAAAUAAGCCACAAAGAGAUAUAUAUUUAUA